rnacentral:rRNA from 1 species
CGAGACGACGCUGGCGGCAUGCCUAACACAUGCAAGUCGAACGGGGGUAGCAAUACCCUAGUGGCGAACGGGUGAGUAACACAUAAGCAAUCUGCCCUUCACAGGGGGAUAACAGCGGGAAACUGCUGCUAAUACCGCAUAAGACCACGGUACCGCAUGGUACAGGGGUAAAAACGAAUCAGUGGUGAAGGAUGAGCUUAUGUCCCAUUAGCUAGUUGGUGAGAUAACAGCCCCACCAAGGCGACGAUGGGUAGCCGACCUGAGAGGGUGAUCGGCCACACUGGAACUGAGACACGGUCCAGACUCCUACGGGAGGCAGCAGUGGGGAAUAUUGGGCAAUGGAGGAAAAACCUCUUACCCAGCAAUGCCGCGUGAGUGAAGAAGGUCUUCGGAUUGUAAAGCUCUUUGAUUGGGGACGAAGAAAGUGACGGUACCCAAAGAACAAGCCCCGGCUAACUACGUGCCAGCCGCAGC